rfam:Hordeum vulgare subsp. vulgare, WGS project CAJW01000000 data, contig: morex_contig_1575271
GUAUUACUCCCUCCGUCCGGAAAUACUUGUCCUAAAGAUGUACAAAAUGAAUGUAUCUAUAAUUAAAAUAAGUCUAGAUACAUCUAUUUGUAAGGCAAGUAUUUUCGAACGGAGUGAGUACUUA